UACAGAGGCCCCGAGCGUUAAUCGGAAUCACUGGGCUUAAAGGGUGCGUAGGCGGGUCAGUAAGCGCUUUGUGAAAUCCCACAGCUCAACUGUGGAACCGCAGGGCGAACUGCUGAUCUUGAGGAGCUAGAGGCUGGUAGAACGAUAGGUGGAGCGGUGGAAUGCGUAGAGAUCUAUCGGAAUGCCGAAAGUGAAGACAGCCAGCUGGGGCUUUCCUGACGCUAAAGCACGAAGCCAGGG
rnacentral:rRNA from 1 species